GUAGUUUGUGUAGAAACCCAGAUGAGUUACAGAGAUUGUGAUGAUGGAGGUCUGGACUUUGUUAUGAAGAACAGCUCGUCCACAAAGAACACAUGUCAACGAGGAGGAGAAAGAGGAGGAGUAAGAGGAGGAGUUCUUACAAGACCAGGACAGUUGCACUAUUCUUGCUCUGGAAACAAGAAGAUGUCUGUGGAGCUCCUCCCUGCGAGUCCUCCGAGUGGGAACAAUGGGUCUCUUCAAGCCACCAAAGUGGGAGGAAGUAAACCUCUACAUCGCUUCAUGAAGGCUCAACCGGAGAGUGUUGGAGUUGUUGUUCUGGUUUUGGGUGUAUCUUUCUUUAUUACAUCCAUCAUUAUGGCAGUAGAUCAUCCUGCUCACCAUUUCUGGAGAAUCACUCCCCUGGGGUACAUCAUUGGAAUACAGUUCAUCAUAUGUGGCAUUCUGUAUAUUAUCACGGAGCACAGCUCAACCAAGAAAAUUGUGACAGCAUCCCUGGCUUUUGGCAUUCUGACCAUUUUGAACUGUUGUUGGAUUAUAUUUAAUCUCAUUCCCAACAUUGAAAACCAUCAUUUUCAGAGGCAAUUUGAGAUCUUUGACUUGGACAACAUUACUGCCAUGGAGGACGCCAUAUGGGAGCCACGCGCUGAAGCCCUUGGAUUCACAACAGAAGCCAUCUUUUUGUUCUAUAUUUUUGUUGGUGGUAUUAUUUUAUUGGUGAUGUCAGUGCUGGCUGGAGCUGCUCUGCGUUCUACCAAGAGUCAGGCCACUGUGGUGAUGUCUACAACAACCACUGAAACGCCUGCUCACUAACAUCGGGAAAAGUCCAUCUUACUGAGUACAAGACUUACUACUACUACUACAACUAUGAACUACUCCAGUGCGAGUUACACAUUAAGAUACCACGUAUUAUUUCAAGGACAAUGCUGUGGAAGUUGGGAAGAUUUCAUGGAUGAGUGCUGACGAUCAGCAACAGCAAACAACUACAGUGAUCUCUAUAAGAGACAGGAGUUCAUAAAGGGUGACCACAUUUGGCAAGUGGGAACCAAGAGGAAGCGUAAGCCCAGCAGCAAGUGGAAAGAUGUGGAAGAGGAGGAUCAUGAAGUUCUACCAAGUAGGUACAAAGGAUCUCGUCAUAAAGCCAGCUCUGAGUGAACUCCUGGCUCUUGUCCAUCAAUUGGAAGAGUUGCAGAUAUUCAUGUGGAAAAACUUGACCAGUCAUGAUGUCCGUCGGCAGUCCCACCUCUGAUAAUAACUUACUUCCACUGUCCGGUGACCAGAGGCUAAAAGAAAUUAAUUACAAUUUUUAAGGUGUGAGCCCGCCGUACAUUCUCCUCGAACUCACCCAGGUCCAGGAAGUCAAAAUGGCACAGACGACGACGCUGGCCCUGGAGAAAGAUACACCAAAAUAUUUUUUGCAGACAGGUUCCUGUGUGUGAGAGCUGAAGAGUUGGACGUCCUCUCUGCACGGGGCUGCUGAGCGCUCACACCAAAUGACGGCCGACCAGGCCCAGAUGAAAGUGGAUCAAGCGUGUAGGCCCUACUUUGCAGCACGGGGACCCCAGGUGCAAUGUCGGUUACCAAAACUGUCUUCCGUAAACAAGAUUGACUUCUGAUGGCGGGGCGGCAAGUGGAGCGCAUGGCCAGCUCCAGUAGCCUACACAUCUGGGUGGACAUGUUGGACAUGUAGGUAGCUAUGCUGGAGGUAAGUCAGAGGGUCCUGAAGAAGUCCCUGCCAAAAUGGAAUAGGUAAAAGGAAAAGGAAAAAUUAUGACUACUUUAGUACAUUCCUGCUAAAAUUAACUACUUCGAAAUUGACAAUGAUUUUCUUUGAUCUUAGUGUAGAAAGCCGCUUAUAUUGUAGAAACCCGCUUAUAUACCAUAACACUUCAAUUUACUAAUAUUCCAUCAUCGUAGCAUUGUAUUUUGUUGUGAGAAUAUUAAUUGGCAAUGUAUACCGUGCAAUCACGUGGAGAGGUGCAAUUUUACGUAACAAAAAAAGCAUGUUAGCAGUUAGCAUUGAGCAAAAUGCUCGCCGAUGGCAAUCGUGAUAUUAUUUAAGUGCAGAGUAAAAAAUAGCAAAAUGUUAGAGACAUGACGUGUUUCCGUAUUGCAUUAAGAACUUAUCACUGGCGAAUGACCACGUUAGCCCACUUGCUAAACGCGAACUUGCAUAGCGAAAUAACAUUUCAAGACAUCUAAAAGAUGAGUCAAUGAUACACACCUCACAGUAGACGACUCUCUAUAUAUUUGGUUGUAACGAUGACAGCGUUUUAAAGUCGUUUCAUUGCAGCACGUUUGUGGAUAAACUGUGACAUUGAGCUCUCGACAUGCUGACCCCACAUUUGUUAUGAGUGCGCCAAACGUUCUUGGGGUAUGGCAGUCGCAUGAUAACGACGUCACCGAGUCAGCCAUAUUGGUCGGGGCAGCAAGUCAAGCGAAGAUGCGUUUACUGAAAAAAAAAACUAUAUCUGAUGAAAACAAUUCGAUAGUACUGUAAACAAAUCAAGAAGAGAACUCGGGGGCGGGGGUUGCUUUUUUAUGUUUAAUAUAUAUUUUUUUAAAUCACUGAUUCAAAGCAGAUCUAUGUGACACUAAGUAAACGUGGUGCCGUAAUAUGUUAAAUUUCUUAUAUUCAGACAAUAUUUUUUAAGGUUUGUUGAGUGGAAAAUCUUAUUUAACAGUUGUCUAUGAUCUAU